rnacentral:lncRNA from 1 species
AUGCUGCUUGCCCAAGGUCGCUUUGUACAACAACAGACAGGUGUUUGAGCAGGUGAAUCAGAUUGCUAAAAGGGCAUGGAAAUCAUUGCCUAACAUAGGGGAAGCUAGUGAAAACUUGACUCUCGUAUUGACUCCCCAGAUAGACACACAGGUGAUUGAGGUUAUGGUCUCAUCACCACGAGGUAUUGUGUCCAUCUCCCCUGGGGAUCGAGUAGCUCCGGUGUUGACAUGGGCAAGAGGGUCUGUUUGUGUGUUUCCACAGGAUCAGACGGAACCUCUUUGGGUGCCGGAGAGGUUGGUGAGAUGCUGCAAGAAUGAGGCUCCUGAUCCAGUUGCCCCUGUGGAUGUGGUGGAUGAUCCCACAAGCACAAACGAUGGAGCUGAGAUGGGAAAUCCUUUCAGUGUUCCCGAAGCCAAUGACAGUUUGACAUGA